CCUGGUGUCAAUGGUGCAGUGGUCCCACGCCGAUCCAUCCCGAACUCGGUUGUGAAACGCUGUUACGGCGACGAUAGUUGGGGGGUAGCCCCCUGCGAAAAUAGCUCGAUGCCAGGU
rfam:Limnothrix sp. P13C2 contig_51, whole genome shotgun sequence.